UGUUCAUUCGUCAUUCUUUCAAUACUGUGAUUUCGUCAUCAGAUGCGUCGCCUGCCGCCGGUUCACAUUCGUUGAGUACCACACGACAUGGAUUGGUGGAGCCAUAUCAACAGUGGACUACUGGCUUGGCGUGGUAGGAGUAGAUGGAGUUUGAAGCAAUUCUGGCUGGGUUGUGUGUGUUGGCGGUUAAUUGCGUGGGAAUGAAGGGGCAACCUGUAUGCGUUUUUCAGUAGCAGUAGCAAUUUCUUCUCCAGAUUAACUAUCCUCUCUUUGAACAUUCUGCAACAUGAAACGCCCCCUGAAUGGUACGAGUUGAUGAUUUAUGCUCACAAGUUGGUUUAUGUUCUGCCAAAAGGGAUCAAUCUAAGAGUACCAAGGGAGCAAAUGUGAGGUGCAGUUUCAGCAAAUCAACAAAUCUUAUGAUAUGAUAUCCUUCUUCCCCAUUCCUAGCCUGCUCCUCCUAUUUGCAGCCCUAUUACUAUACACUCAACAGAACUCUUGAGCCUUGACUAAAUGCAAGGAAGUAUACCUUCAUACUGAAAAGAAGGCAGCUUCAGUUAGACCUUGGCCAGCCACAUAAACUAAAAAGAAGAAAAAUUAUGUACGCUUUGGAUGUGAUGCUGACUUAGCAUCUGGAUUAUCUUCAGAUGAUGGGCAUAUGAAGCAAAUCAAGUCACCAAAUAACCAAUUUGCAUGUAAAUCAUCAUUGUAUCCUAUCCCUUUUCACUAUUUGUUUUUUUAUUUUCUAGAACUUUUUAAACUGCCAAAUAACUGGCUACUAAAUGGCAUGAUAAUUGCUAUUUAAGUUUGUGUACAAUAUUUAGUGCAGAAUAUGAUCACACAUUGAUGAACUUCAUAUUUCAU